rnacentral:rRNA from 1 species
UACGUAGGGCGCAAGCGUUGUCCGGAAUUAUUGGGCGUAAAGAGCUCGUAGGCGGCUUGUCACGUCGGAUGUGAAAGCCCGGGGCUUAACCCCGGGUCUGCAUUCGAUACGGGCAGGCUAGAGUGUGGUAGGGGAGAUCGGAAUUCCUGGUGUAGCGGUGAAAUGCGCAGAUAUCUGGAGGAACACCGGUGGCGAAGGCGACAUCCUGGACCGGUAUUGACGCUGAGGCGCGAAAGCCAGGGGAGCAAACGGG